UUUGGGCUAGAGAAAAAAAUAAUAAUCUUUAUUUUUUUUCUAUAAAUUACAAGAAUUUAUAAUAGAUACAAAAUGGCUGCAAUUUCUCCAAGUAAAUGUGGGGGGAGAAAACGCAUGAAGAAUUUUAAAGGAAAAAUGAAUAAAUGUAUAAAAGAAAUCAGUGGAAGAGGUAGGUGACUGCAAGAGCCACUAGCAGAAGGAUGUAAGCAAUUCCUUGAUCAAUAGCCUUGCCUGCAACAAGAACAGCAGUCAACCCAGAAAUCUAUAUUAGGAGAAAGACCAAUAAAUUUCAUCCCAAUCAAAUUAAAUAGAAAAGAAAGUAUAAGAAAGAAACGCACCAUCGCUGGAUGGGCCCUGUGCUGCAGGAGUAGGAGCCAUGCCUUGUCCAUAGCCAAGAUGCAAAAGUGCCAAGAACAUAAAGCCAGCAAAUUCAGCAUACAGCUUCAUGGGACUCAUCUUCAAAAACCAACACCAACAGAUCGAGUCCAAGAAGAUUGAGCGAAACCAAGAAUCAGAGAGAGAGAGAGAG
rnacentral:misc_RNA from 1 species